CCCAAGCAUCAAGAGAGGGGCCCUCGCCCCCACCAACCUGCCCAACCCGGCAAGGUGGUCGUCCUUCGGGAGAUGUGGCCGAUCCGGCAACAAACGGGUGCAG
rnacentral:ncRNA from 10 species